rnacentral:tRNA from 1 species
UAAAAAGUCCUUUAAGCACAAAGG